AUUCGUCAACGAACCUUUUUCACGGACGAAAACUAAAUAAAAACUAAAUAAAAUCAUAUAUGAUGACGAAGACUGUAACGAAAUAUAACUGACACUUUAGUCAACGAAUAAAAAUAAGACGAAAAUGUUAGGGAGGGACGAAUGGAGAAGAGAUCCAAUCAGAGCUACUCAUUUUGUGGGACAGUUGGGAAGAAAUCCAAUCAGAGCGAAUCUUUGAGGGUAGGUUGAUCUACACAGGCAGCAGUCGGCAGAGUCAUUUUGAAAACCCGCGGCAAAGUUUGUUUUCACAACAGGUUGUUUACAUUAUAUUUAGUUGUACAGUCUUAGUUCCCAGCUUUGGCGGAUUUCAGUUGACUUCGCUCGUUAGCAACACGCUAACGUUUUGCGGUGCACCCGGUCCGAAGACAUGUCUCAUUAACAACAAAAAUGUCAGAGCUAGCGUCUAAUCUGGUCACACUACAAAUAUGACAAGACGACAGACUGUAAAGACGACUCAUCCAGAAAUACAUGCGAAGGCGGAUCAAGAUUCCAACCAUCUGCAUUAGGAUCUACCUUAGAGACACUCACUGGAGCUGUAAAUGGGAAGCAGGUCACUUACUUUGCAUUCGUCCUUGGUGGUCACCCCAGGGUCUCUAGAGUGAAAAUUACUCAAUCUAUGGAUUAAACAGAAAAUGUAGUUUUAUGAAGUG